AUUGAACGCUGGCGGCAGGCUUAACACAUGCAAGUCGAACGAGUGGCGGACGGGUGAGUAAUGCUUGGGAAUCUAGCUUAUGGAGGGGGAUAACUACGGGCAACUGUAGCUAAUACCGCGUACCAUAGGAUGAGCCCAAGUGGGAUUGGGUAGUUGGUGAGGUAAAGGCUCACAAAGCCGACGAUCUCUAGCUGGUCUGAGAGGAUGACCAGCAACACUGGGAUUGAGCCACGGCCGAGACUCCUACGGUAGGCAGCAGUGGGGAAUAUUGCGCAAUGGGGGCAACCCUGAUGCAGCCAUGCCGCUUGUAUGAAGAAGGCCUUAGGGUUGUAAAGUACUUUCAGCGGGGAGGCGUUACCCGCAGAAGAAGCACCGGCUAACUCCGUGCCAGCCGCCGCGGUAAUAC
rnacentral:rRNA from 1 species